rnacentral:rRNA from 1 species
CGAUUAGGCAGCAGUGGGGAAUAUUGCACAAUGGGCGCAAGCCUGAUGCAGCAACGCCGCGUGAGUGAUGAAGGCCUUCGGGUCGUAAAACUCUGUCCUAUGGGAAGAAUAAAAUGACGGUACCAUAGGAGGAAGCCCCGGCUAACUACGUGCCAGCAGCCGCGGUAAUACGUAGGGGGCAAGCGUUAUCCGGAAUCACUGGGCGUAAAGGGUGCGUAGGUGGCUGAUCAAGCCAGAGGUGAAAGGCAUUGGCUCAACCAAUGUAAGCCUUUGGAACUGAUCGGCUUGAGUGCAGGAGAGGUAAGUGGAAUUCCUAGUGUAGAGGUGAAAUUCGUAGAUAUUAGGAGGAACACCAGUGGCGAAGGCGACUUACUGGACUGUAACUGACACUGAGGCACGAAAGCGUGGGUAGCGAACAGGAUUAGAUACCCUGGUAGUCCGCGCCGUAAACGAUGAAUACUAGGUGUCGGGCGUCAAAACUCGGUGCCGCAGCUAACGCAUUAAGUAUUCCGCCUGGGGAGUACGCACGCAAGUGUGAAACUCAAAGGAAUUGACGGGGACCCGCACAAGCAGCGGAGCAUGUGGUUUAAUUCGAAGCAACGCGAAGAACCUUACCAGGUCUUGACAUCCUCUUGCAAGGGCCCUAGCCGGCCCCCUCCUUCGGGACAAGAGAGACAGGUGGGGCAUGGUUGUCGUCAGCUCGUGUCGGGAGAUGUUGGGUUAAGUCCCGCAACGAGCGCACCCUUGGGU